AACAAUUAUAUCAGAAACGCACAAGGUCUGCAAAAGAGAUUGAUGGCAAUGAAUGAGCAUAGAUCAUUUUGAGGAGGAAGAGAAGCCUGCUACAUAACCCGUGAAUUAUUCAUUUCCAGUCAUUCAUAGAGCCUACAGGAAGACUAAAGAGAACCAAAUUGCCCUAACGUAAUGCAUCCACGUCUUUUUUCAGUUGUCAUUCUAGCGGUACAAUGGUUGAAAAUCGCAAGAGGACAAUCACAUAGGUUCAAUUCAGGGUCCACUAAAGAGAUCGUAUUAGGGGCAUCUCAUCGGUUCUUAGCUAACAACAAGUAAAGAGAACCAUCAGUCGAUCUAUCUAUCAAUAUGAUCACCUAGGUGAUUGAAAAGGCAAAAUGUGCAUCACAUCCAGCAUGAAUUUACAUGAGCAAGAUUUUGAUAAAAUACUCAUCAAAUCCGCGAGAGCUAAGUAAACAAUUUCAUGAAUUUGAUACGAGCGAGAAUCGCCUGACAUCAACUCCAGAGAACACAGACCUCAAGAAGCCAGCCAAACAUACAUUCGAGCUGUUUGCGCUUGGUGCACGGGGGACAAAACCACGACCCUUUAGGCACGGACACGAGGACCGGCCGGAGGCAGAACAGGUGGUACCCUCGAUCGCAGUUAUCGCACAGGAGCAACUCGUCGCCGGAAUCUCCCGACCCACAUUUCUCGCACCGCACGUCGCCCGAGAGAGAGG